rnacentral:tRNA from 1 species
GCCCAGGUAGCUCAGGGGUAGAGCACUUCCUUGGUAAGGAAGAGGUCUCGGGUUCAAUUCCCGAUCUGGGCU